rnacentral:rRNA from 1 species
GACGAACGCUGGCGGCAUGCCUAACACAUGCAAGUCGAACGAACGCUUCGGCCUUUGUGGCGCACGAGUGCGUCACGCGUGGGAAGCUGCCCUUUUCGUCGGCAUAACAGUUAGAAAUGACUACUAAUACCGGAUGAUAUCUCAUGACCGAAAAUUUAUCGGCAAAGGAUGAGCCCGCGUAGGAUUAGCUAGUUGGUGUGGUAAUGGCCUACCACGGCGACGAUCCUUAGCUGGGCUGAGAGGAUGAUCAGCAACACCGGGACUGAGAAGCGGCCCGGAAUCCUACGGGAGGCAGCAGUGGGGAAUAGUGGAAAGCGGGCGAAGGGCUGAUCGACUAAGGCUGGGUGAGCGAUGAAGGCCGUAGGGUUGUAAAGUGUUUGUACCCGUGAUCAUAAUGACAGUACCGGGAGAAUAAGCUACGGCUAACUCCGUG